AACGAACGCUGGCGGCAGGCCUAACACAUGCAAGUCGAGCGAGACCUUCGGGUCUAGCGGCGGACGGGUGAGUAACGCGUGGGAAUAUGCCCUUUGGUACGGAAUAGCCUCGGGAAACUGAGAGUAAUACCGUAUGUGCCCUUCGGGGGAAAGAUUUAUCGCCAAAGGAUUAGCCCGCGUUGGAUUAGGUAGUUGGUGGGGUAAUGGCCUACCAAGCCUACGAUCCAUAGCUGGUUUGAGAGGAUGAUCAGCCACACUGGGACUGAGACACGGCCCAGACUCCUACGGGAGGCAGCAGUGGGGAAUCUUAGACAAUGGGGGAAACCCUGAACUAGCCAUGCCGCGUGAGUGAUGAAGGCCUUAGGGUUGUAAAGCUCUUUCAGCUGGGAAGAUAAUGACAGUACCAGCAGAAGAAGCCCCGGCUAACUCCGUGCCAGCCGCCGCGGUAA
rnacentral:rRNA from 1 species